rnacentral:rRNA from 1 species
GUUGUAUGGUUAAGUGACUAAGCGUACACGGUGGAUGCCUUGGCAGUCAGAGGCGAUGAAAGACGUAGUAACUUGCGAUAAGCCCAGAUUAGGUAGUAACAACCAUUUGAGUCUGGGAUUUCUGAAUGGGGAAACCCACGUGCAUAAGCACGUAUCCUUACCUGAAUACAUAGGGUAAGGAGGCGAACCGGGGGAACUGAAACAUCUAAGUACCCCGAGGAAAAGAAAUCAACCGAGAUUCCGAAAGUAGCGGCGAGCGAAAUUGGACUAGCCCUUAAGCUUUACACGCGUUAGACGAACGGUCUGGAAAGUCCGACGAUACAGGGUGAUAGUCCCGUAGUUGACGACGUGUGUUCAGUGAAAUCGAGUAGGGCGGGACACGUGAUAUCCUGUCUGAAUAUGGGGGGACCAUCCUCCAAGGCUAAAUACUACUGACUGACCGAUAGUGAACCAGUACCGUGAGGGAAAGGCGAAAAGAACCCCUGUGAGGGGAGUGAAAUAGAACCUGAAACCGUGUACGUACAAGCAGUAGGAGCAGGCUUUGUCCUGUGACUGCGUACCUUUUGUAUAAUGGGUCAGCGACUUAUAUUCAGUGGCAAGGUUAACCAUCUAGGGGAGCCGUAGGGAAACCGAGUCUUAACUGGGCGUUCAGUCUCUGGAUAUAGACCCGAAACCAGGUGAUCUAGCCAUGGGCAGGUUGAAGGUUGAGUAACAUCAACUGGAGGACCGAACCGACUAAUGUUGAAAAAUUAGCGGAUGACUUGUGGCUAGGGGUGAAAGGCCAAUCAAACCUGGAGAUAGCUGGUUCUCCCCGAAAGCUAUUUAGGUAGCGCCUCGGACGAAUACUACUGGGGGUAGAGCACUGUUAAGGCUAGGGGGUCAUCCCGACUUACCAACCCUUUGCAAACUCCGAAUACCAGUAAGUACUAUCCGGGAGACACACGGCGGGUGCUAACGUCCGUCGUGGAGAGGGAAACAACCCAGACCGCCAGCUAAGGUCCCAAAUUACUACUAAGUGGGAAACGAUGUGGGAAGGCUCAGACAGCCAGGAUGUUGGCUUAGAAGCAGCCAUCAUUUAAAGAAAGCGUAAUAGCUCACUGGUCGAGUCGGCCUGCGCGGAAGAUGUAACGGGGCUAAGUAGUAAACCGAAGCUGCGGCAAUGUGCUUUUGCACAUUGGGUAGGGGAGCGUUCUGUAAGCGGUUGAAGGUGUGUGGUAACGCAUGCUGGACGUAUCAGAAGUGCGAAUGCUGACAUGAGUAACGAUAAAGGGGGUGAAAAACCUCCUCGCCGGAAGACCAAGGGUUCCUGUCCAACGUUAAUCGGGGCAGGGUAAGUCGACCCCUAAGGCGAGGCCGAAAGGCGUAGUCGAUGGGAAACGGGUUAAUAUUCCCGUACUUCUUACAAUUGCGAUGGGGGGACGGAGAAGGCUAGGUGGGCCUGGCGACGGUUGUCCAGGUUCAAGUGCGUAGGCUUAAGAGUUAGGUAAAUCCGGCUCUUUUUAAGGCUGAGACACGACGUCGAGCCACUACGGUGGUGAAGUCAUUGAUGCCAUGCUUCCAGGAAAAGCCUCUAAGCUUCAGAUUGUAAGGAAUCGUACCCCAAACCGACACAGGUGGUCGGGUAGAGAAUACCAAGGCGCUUGAGAGAACUCGGGUGAAGGAACUAGGCAAAAUGGUACCGUAA